AUUGAACGCUGGCGGAAUGCUUUACACAUGCAAGUCGAACGGCAGCACGAGGGCAACCUUGGUGGCGAGUGGCGAACGGGUGAGUAAUACAUCGGAACGUGCCCAGUCGUGGGGGAGUAACGUAGCGAAAGACUACGCUAAUACCGCAUACGAUCUAUGGAUGAAAGACGGGGGACCGGUAAGGCCUCGCGCGAUUGGAGCGGCCGAUGGCAGAUUAGGUAGUUGGUGGGGUAAAGGGCUCACCAAGCCUGCGAUCUGUAGCUGGUCUGAGAGGAUGAUCAGCCACACUGGGACUGAGACACGGCCCAGACUCCUACGGGAGGCAGCAGUGGGGAAUUUUGGACAAUGGGGGCGAACCCUGAUCCAGCCAUGCCGCGUGAGUGAAGAAGGCC
rnacentral:rRNA from 1 species